UUUUUCUUUUUGAAUUUUUUCUUCUUCUUUUUCUUCUUUUUCUUCUUC
rnacentral:ribozyme from 12 species